GGGCAGGAGGGAGUUUCAGAUGCUAUCCAGCCAUCCAGCAUGUAGUUCAGAUGCAUCAAAUCCUGCUUAGUUAUCAUAGCAGGUUGCCAGCUCUGUGUUUUUGGGCCUAUAGGCAGACAUGUUGAAUUGAAAAUUAAAUGGUGAAACAAAAGGUGAAGUCAGAGGAUUAAAUGCUACAUUUUUGUCAUCCAAGUGACAAACCUAGAUGUACUGAACCUAAGGGCAUCUAGAUUCAGGAGCUAGGUAAUGUCACAUGAAAACCAGCUAUAUUGUAAUCUUUGGCCCAGCAUGACCCAGGAAGAGGACAUUGGGGAGUUUUCUUCAGUAUUAUCAGGGAAUUCCCAAACUCCUUAUGUAGCAAGAAAAGUCAGCUGUGGCUUUCACACCCCUGUUUAGUUCUGACUAUUCAGCCCUGUCUCAAGAGUUCUGUCACUUUAUAUCAAGACACCAAUUGAUAAAUUGGGCAGUUUCAUACGUAUGUGGGAUCAUCCUCUUUAUUGCUCGGUAGAUGGUUAGCGGACAGCAGCACAUUUGUGCUCUCUGGUAGGGACUAAACCUGGCAGAAAGGGACAACUCAGAUACCUCUGAUAGGAAUCUGAAGAAACUUCUGGACACCUGAUUCGGGAUGCCCAAGCCCCAUAUGGUGACAGAGGUUACAGUCGGUUCAACAUUUUCCUGUGACCCCAGAAAAAUCAGUGAGGAAGGCCGUGACCCAGAGAAGUUGUCCUAGACUGGAAGAAGAGGAAGACGAGGCUGUACCAAACCCUCCUUAAUGAUGCGUCUGUGCCAUGUGAUUGAUGUCUUCAGAUAUCCAACCUUCAGGAAGGUUUUUAUUGUUGUGGUUACCCAGCCCUGUACACUGCCUUGACCUCCUGACCUCCAGCCCCCACAAGUCUGCAAAGUGGCAUGCCAACAUUGCACAACUCAGCUGAGGAAACACAAACUGUGGCCAUUAAUGAACAAUGUAAACCUCACAAGAUGCAUCUUCUUGGAACCCAAGUCCUACAAACUUUUGCACAAAGUAUGUACCACCUAACCAGCAAUGGACUCAUCCACCCACAUCCCUCAAAGUGCUUAGGAGGCUCUUUCUUGCCAUCAGACUACAACAUAAUUGGGAGGAGGAGAUUCUGUAACUGUAUGUGUGAUGAUGAUUCUCUCAAGUGGGUAUUCAGCCCAUAGAUAAUGUACUAUGACUCCAUUUAAAAUCUGUAUUGGUAAAUGAAGUACAUGUAUGCUCCUGUGUUGGAUAUCAAGUAAAAUCAUUGCUUAUUUCCUAAA